rnacentral:lncRNA from 1 species
CCGAAUGGAAUUCACAUUUGACAUUUUCAUCAAAAUUGGCAGGCCUCUGAUCAGGUUUUAAUAGAGUCAACAUCCUCGGCUGCACCAAUCCAAAAUCCUUCAACCUCUUAAACAGAGAGGCAUAAGUCACGGGCGGCUUAUUGAAAUGACGGUUUGUCGUCCUCCUUCUCAAUUGGCCCACUGCUCUUUGUGUCCUCUGUUGAGGUGACUGUUGCCGCUGUGGUGC